GAAAAUAGAGAAUAUGAUGUUUUGAUUGGU
rnacentral:piRNA from 1 species